rnacentral:rRNA from 1 species
UACGUAGGGUGCAAGCGUUAAUCGGAAUUACUGGGCGUAAAGCGUGCGCAGGCGGUCGUGCAAGACAGAUGUGAAAUCCCCGGGCUCAACCUGGGAACUGCGUCUGAUACUGGGAGGCUUGAGUUCGGGAGAGGGAUGUGGAAUUCCAGGUGUAGCGGUGAAAUGCGUAGAUAUCUGGAGGAACACCGGUGGCGAAGGCGGCAUCCUGGACCGAAACUGACACUGAGGCGCGAAAGCCAGGGGAGCAAACGGG